GAUGAACGCUGGCGGCGUGCUUAACACAUGCAAGUCGAAGGUAGUAGAGAACGGGUGAGUAAUACGAGGUUAACCUGACCUCCUUUUUGGUAUAAGCCUUGGAAACGGGGUCUAAUACCGCAUAAAGGGGGAUGGGCUCGGGGCCUAUCAGCGUGUUGGUGGGGUGAUGGCCUACCAAGGCGGUGACGGGUAGCCGGCCGGAGAGGGUGCACUGCGACAUUGGGACUUGUAUACGGCCCAUACUCGUACGGGAGGCAGCAGUGUGGAAUAUUGCACAAUGGGCGAAAGCGUGAUGCAGCGACUCCGCGGGGGGGAUGAAGGCUGUAGGGUUGUAUACGUCUUUCGCUAGCGAACGGGUAGGUGGAGAAGAAGCGCCGGCUAACUACGUGCCAGCAGCCGCGGUAAUUC
rnacentral:rRNA from 1 species